AUACGUAGGGGGCGAGCGUUGUCCGGAAUGAUUGGGCGUAAAGGGCGCGUAGGCGGCGCGGUAAGUCUGGAGUGAAAGUCCUGCUUUCAAGGUGGGAAUUGCUUUGGAUACUGCCGCGCUUGAGUGCAGGAGAGGUUAUCGGAAUUCCCGGUGUAGCGGUAAAAUGCGUAGAGAUCGGGAGGAACACCAGUGGCGAAGGCGGGUAACUGGACUGCAACUGACGCUGAGGCGCGAAAGUGUGGGGAGCAAACAGGAUUAGAUACCCUGGUAGUCCACACUGUAAACGAUGAAUGCUAGGUGUAGGGGGUAUCGACCCCUUCUGUGCCGCAGUCAACACAAUAAGCAUUCCGCCUGGGGAGUACGGCCGCAAGGUUGAAACUCAAAGGAAUUGACGGGG
rnacentral:rRNA from 1 species